rnacentral:rRNA from 1 species
CCUGGUUGAUCCUGCCAGUAAUCAUAUGCUUGUCUCAAAGAUUAAGCCAUGCAUGUCUAAGUACAUGCCGAAAUAAGGCGAAACCGACAUGGUCUUAAUCAGUUAUGGUUCCUUAGCUCGUUUCUUUCCUACUGUUGGAUAACUGUGGCAAUUCUAGAGCUAAUACAUGCAGUGCGCCUGGAGCCCUUUGGGUAACGGGUGCUUUUCUUAGACCAAGAUCGAUCGGGUUUCGGCCCGUAUUGUGUGGUGACUCUGGAUAACUUUGUGCUGAUCGCAUGGCCACGAGCCGGCGACGUUUCUUUCAAGUGUCUGCCUUAUCAACUUUCGAUGGUAGGUUACUUGCGGGGGGACUUACCAUGGUUGUUCGGGUAACGGAGAAUCAGGGUUCGAUUCCGGAGAGGGAGCCUGAGAAACGGCUACCACAUCCAAGGAAGGCAGCAGGCGCGCAAAUUACCCACUCCCGGCACGGGGAGGUAGCGACGAAAAAUAACAAUACGGGACUCUUUUGAGGCCCCGUAAUUGAAAUGAGUACACUCUAAAUCCUUUAACGAGGAUCAAUUGGAGGGCAAGUUGCGUGCCGGCCGCGGUAAUUCCGCUCAAUGCGUUAUAGCUGCCUUUGCGGCUUAAAAAGCCUCGUAGUUGGUCUCAGUUCCAGCGAGUAGUGCCAUCUCGAUGCGACGGUCGGACUGACCUCUGCCGGUUGUUUUCUUGCGGUGCACUUCAUUGUGUGCCUCGAGCUGGCCGGUGCUUUUACUUUGAAAAAAUUAGAGUGCUCAACGCAGGCGAGUCGCCUGAAUAAACUUGCAUGGAAUAAUAGAACAAGACCUCGUUUCUGUUCUGUUGGUUUUUGGUUUUUGGAAUACGUAAUGAUUAAGAGGGACGGACGGGGGCAUUCGUAUUGCGGCGCUAGAGGUGAAAUUCUUGGACCGUCGCAAGACGAACUACUGCGAAAGCAUUUGCCAAGAAUGUUUUCAUUGAUCAAGAACGAAAGUCAGAGGUUCGAAGGCGAUCAGAUACCGCCCUAGUUCUGACCAUAAACGAUGCCAACCAGCGAUCCGCCUGAGUUACUCAAAUGACUCGGCGGGCAGCUUCCGGGAAACCAAAGUAUUUGGGUUCCGGGGGAAGUAUGGUUGCAAAGCUGAAACUUAAAGGAAUUGACGGAAGGGCACCAUGGAGCUGCGGCUUAUUUGACUCAACACGGUAAACUCGGCCGGCACUGGGGGGAUUGAGGUUGAGAGCUCUUUCUUGAUUCGGUGGAUGGUGGUGCAUGGCCGUUCUUAGUUGGUGGCGCGAUUUGUCUGGUUAAUUCCGAUAACGAACGAGACUCUAGCCUAUUAAAUAUAGGUGCGGGGUGUCCAGCCCUUACACCUCUGUAGAGGCGCAAGCGGCUUCUAGCCGCCGACAGAGCAAUAACGGUCUGUGAUGCCCUUAGAUGUCCGGGGCCGCACGCGCGCUACACUGAAGGAAGCAGCGUGUCUUUAUCCCUGUCUGAAAAGACUGGGUAACCCGUGGAACUUCUUUCGUGAUUGGGAUAGGGGCUUGCAAUUGUUCCCCUUGAACGAGGAAUUCCCAGUAAGCGAGUAUAAGCUCGCGUGAUUCGUCCCUGCCCUUUGGUACCCACCGCCGUCGCUACUACCGAUUGAAUGUUAGUGAGGUCUUCGCGACGUGUCCGCGCGCGGCCCUUUGCGCCGGUCUGUUGGAAAGAUGACCAAACUUGAUCAUUUAGAGGAAGUAAAAGUCGUAACAAGGUUUCCGUAGGUGAACCUGCGGAAG